UACGUAGGGCGCAAGCGUUGUCCGGAAUUAUUGGGCGUAAAGAGCUCGUAGGCGGUCUGUUGCGUCCGCUGUGAAAACUCGGGGCUUAACCCCGAGCCUGCAGUGGAUACGGGCAGACUAGAGGUAGGUAGGGGAGAAUGGAAUUCCCGGUGUAGCGGUGAAAUGCGCAGAUAUCAGGAAGAACACCCGUGGCGAAGGCGGCUCUCUGGGACGUGACUGACGCUGAGACGCGAAAGCGUGGGGAGCGAACAGG
rnacentral:rRNA from 1 species